UUAUACGACCGUACCGCAAACCGACACUGGUGCGCGAGAUGAGUAUUCUAAGGCGCUUGAGAGAACUCAGGAGAAGGAACUCGGCAAAUUGACACCGUAACUUCGGAAGAAGGUGUGCCCUAUUAGUGUGUAGUGAACAACGAAGCAUGAAUGGGUUGCAAAAAAUCGGUGGCUGCGACUGUUUAUUAAAAACACAGCACUCUGCAAACACGAAAGUGGACGUAUAGGGUGUGACGCCUGCCCGGUGCUGGAAGAUUAAAUGAUGGGGUGCAAGCUCUUGAUUGAAGUCCCAGUAAACGGCGGCCGUAACAAUAACGGUCCUAAGGUAGCGAAAUUCCUUGUCGGGUAAGUUCCGACCUGCACGAAUGGCGUAACGAUGGCCACACUGUCUCCUCCUGAGACUCAGCGAAGUUGAAAUGUUUGUGAUGAUGCAAUCUCCCCGCGGAAAGACGGAAAGACCCCAUGAACCUUUACUGUAGCUUUGUAUUGGACUUUGAACAGAUCUGUGUAGGAUAGGUGGGAGGCUUUGGAGCAGGGUCGCUAGAUCUUGUGGAGCCAACGUUGAAAUACCACCCUGGUGUGUUUGAGGUUCUAACCUAGGUCCAUUAUCUGGAUCGGGGACAGUGCAUGGUAGGCAGUUUGACUGGGGCGGUCUCCUCCCAAAGCGUAACGGAGGAGUUCGAAGGUACGCUAGUUACGGUCGGACAUCGUGACGAUAGUGCAAUGGCAUAAGCGUGCUUAACUGCGAGACUGACAAGUCGAGCAGAUGCGAAAGCAGGACAUAGUGAUCCGGUGGUUCUGUAUGGAAGGGCCAUCGCUCAACGGAUAAAAGGUACUCUGGGGAUAACAGGCUGAUACCGCCCAAGAGUUCAUAUCGACGGCGGUGUUUGGCACCUCGAUGUCGGCUCAUCUCAUCCUGGGGCUGUAGCCGGUCCCAAGGGUAUGGCUGUUCGCCAUUUAAAGAGGUACGUGAGCUGGGUUUAAAACGUCGUGAGACAGUUUGGUCCCUAUCUUCCGUGGGCGCUGCAGAUUUGAGGAAGCCUGCUCCUAGUACGAGAGGACCGGAGUGGACACACCUCUGGUGUAUCGGUUGUCACGCCAGUGGCAUUGCCGAGUAGCUAAGUGUGGAAGAGAUAACCGCUGAAAGCAUCUAAGCGGGAAACUCGUUUCAAGAUGAGAUCUGCCGGGGCCUUGAGCCCCCUAAAGAGUCGUUCAAGACCAGGACGUUGAUAGGUCAGGUGUGGAAGCCAAAAAAAGAAGAAAAAAAGAA
rnacentral:rRNA from 1 species